UUUUUUUUUCUUUUUUUUUUUUUCAAUCCUAUAGCUAAAUUUUCUCACUUCUCCAGCUGGGCCUCAAACUCAUUUUCUUGCUAUCUAGCAUUGCUCAUCAUAGUUAAUCACAAUCCUAACCACUGCUUAAUUUCCUGGAAAAUAUCCAGAAAAACUUUGGAGGCAGUGUAGACUAUUAGGGUAAACCACAGCUUGGUUCCCAAGGUAGCUGUUCCCACAACAAACCACCCUUCCUGUCAUUGUGUUUUCAUUACUUUCAAAGCUUAAAGAUAUUUGUCAGGUUUGUUUUUAGGUAAAGGAUUCCUGCCCUCCCUCCAAUCUCUUCUCUUUAUACACCUGUUGCAGAAUGUGGUUAUUUUUUCUCACCAGACAGUUUUCUACAGUUGAGAUGAUGUCAUCUGGGCAACAUUCCUAAAUGGGAAGAGAUAGAUGUUUGAGGGGGAGUAUUACAUCUCAUUCGAAAGUGGAUAUCUAAAAAUAGGUCAAACUAAUUAUUUGCAACCUACAAGUGCAAUUUUUUUUUUCUGCUGACUAUGAAGGGAAGCUGGAUAACUAGCUCAGUUGGAGACCUUGAAACAAUGGAUAUCUAAAAUGGGAUAAGAUUGAUCUCACUCAUUAAAUUUUCCUGCUCACAAUCUGAAAUGCGCACUGUUGAGUUCGUGAUAUCUAUCAGGCUUGCACCUAGACAUUAAAAUCAGACUAGGGUGCCAUACUGGUAAAUAAAAUAUACUUUUCAAACCAUCGGACAAAAGAAGAUGCGUUAUCUUCCAAUUUCACAAAGAAAAUAUAAGCAUGACCAAAUCAACAUUUUUUCCUUAUGAGAAAGUUGGAAUAGACAGGAGACACAUCUAAUUCACAUUAGGAGAAAUGUAACUGGAAAAGCUGAGAAGUCAGCCUGUCAGUAAAAACACACACACGCAGACGAUAGGUAUGAAUACUAAUGUUAAAAAGUCAUUGCUUUUUCACCCUGAACUGAAAGGGAAAUAGGAAUGCACCUUUUAUAAAUAAAUAUGGGACAAUUCAGACAGCUGAGUCAUUUUGUGUCCCAGAUAAAUUUACCGAUAAAAUCUUCUUCAGGUUAAUGCAGCAAUGCCACUUCAAUCACUGUACUUAUCAGUAUGGACUUCCUGCUAAUGGUGGAGCUUUGAUACAUAUUGUUUUGUGGGUUUUUUGGGAGGGUGGAGAGGUUAAUCUCAUCUACCUUUAAAUUCAGGUGCCUAUAAAUGAGCUAUUAGAACUCCAUCAACUUGGAAGGAACUGGGUUGUCAGUGCAGAUGUCACAGAAUCACCAAAACACAGAAUGAUUUAGGUUGGAAGGGUCCUUUGGAGGUCGUCUGUUCCAACACACCUAAUGAAGCAAGCUGCUUGUAUUUAAUCAGAUGAAUAUCAUGCUGGAAGCCUGAUAUUCACAUUUGCACACCAGCAAGAUAUACAAUCGUAGAAUCAUAGAGUCAUUUCUGUUGAAAGGGACUACUAAAGAUCAUCUAACCCAACUCCCCUGCAGUGAACAGGGACAUCUACAGCUUGAUCACUUAAGACAGUCAUUUGAUACACAGUGUGAAAUGGAACAAGAAGACACAAUCAAACCAGAGUCAUAAAUCACACAGCUAUCACCUCUGUUCAUGCCGUUCUGAUAAUCAAAUACAAAGCCUUGAAAACAAAGAUAUUGUCUUUCUGGUGGCUAAAAAAAUGUGUCGGAUAACUAGAGAGAAAAAAUAACUGAAACGAGAUUUGAAAUGUUUUCUUGUCUUGACUGCCAUUUUGACACGUGAAGAAAAGAGAACAGCAUUAUAAUGAAAG
ensembl:lncRNA